AUAGGAUCUACCUAGUAGUACGGAAUAAUUGUUGGAAACGACAACUAAUACCGUAUACGCCCUACGGGGGAAAAAUUUAUUGCUAUUAGAUGAGCCUAUAUUAGAUUAGCUAGUUGGUGGGGUAAUAGCCUACCAAGGUAAUGAUCUAUAGCUGAUCUGAGAGGAUGAUCAGCCACACUGGAACUGAGAUACGGUCCAGACUCCUACGGGAGGCAGCAGUGGGGAAUAUUGGACAAUGGGCGAAAGCCUGAUCCAGCCAUGCCGCAUGAGUGAAGAAGGCCUUUGGGUUGUAAAGCUCUUUUAGUGAGGAAGAUAAUGACGGUACUCACAGAAGAAGUCCUGGCUAACUCCGUGCCAGCAGCCGCGGUAAUACGGAGAGGGCUAGCGUUAUUCGGAAUUAUUGGGCGUAAAGGGCGCGUAGGCUGGUUAAUAAGUUAAAAGUGAAAUCCCGAGGCUUAACCUUGGAAUUGCUUUUAAAACUAUUAAUCUAGAGAUUGAAAGAGGAUAGGGGAAUUCCUGAUGUAGAGGUAAAAUUCGUAAAUAUUAGGAGGAACACCAGUGGCGAAGGCGUCUAUCUGGUUCAAAUCUGACGCUGAAGCGCGAAGGCGUGGGGAGCAAACAGGAUUAGAUACCCUGGUAGUCCACGCUGUAAACGAUGAAUGUUAAAUAUGGGGAGUUUACUUUCUGUAUUACAGCUAACGCGUUAAACAUUCCGCCUGGGGACUACGGUCGCAAGAUUAAAACUCAAAGGAAUUGACGGGGACCCGCACAAGCGGUGGAGCAUGUGGUUAAUUCGAUGCA
rnacentral:rRNA from 1 species